CUCUGAUACAUGUUGGGAUGUUAUUCCAUUCACGUGAGGCUGCAACAGAGAAGGCUGACUGACUAAAGACAGUUUUUACAUGUGCCCUGAAAUUAAAGUUGGAGUCCAGAAUAAUGCCAAGUGUCAAAUGCUUUGCGGAGAUCAAGAAAGACAGCACCGACAACGCCACGCUUAUCCAACAGUGAUUUAAUUUUCUCAAUGAAAAAACAAUUAGCCGUCUCGGUUGAGUGGUUGGAUCUGAAGCCAAAUUGCAUUGGAUGAAGGGGGAAUGAUCUGUUGUUCAGGUGGUGUAUGAUUUGCUCAGCUACACACUUCUCUGCUACUUUAGACAUUAUAGGGAGGAUGCUGAUCGGCCUAUAGUUACAGGUGGAAUGAUGAUCACCAGAUUUGAAAAUUGGCGUGACAAUUGCAGAUUUCCAAUUGACUUGUUAUGUUUUUUUUAUAAUUCUAUUGCAUCUCUUAAAAUAUUGAAUAUGAAGUAUCUAUAUCUAAAUAUUUGGCAUAAAUUAAUUUUGUCCAUGUUGUGCAG
ensembl:lncRNA